GACAGGUUGCAGUGGGUGGGGAGCAGGGCCACUGGGGAGACCGAGUCCCAGGCCUCCAGGCCUCCCUGGGCCGAGCCGGCAGAAACCAGGCUGGGGAGCACUGUGCUUUGGGGACAGGCCAGAGUCACCCAGAGUCGACGCAAAGGGCCCGUGUCCUGAAAAUGUCCAGCAGAGGAGAGCGAGGUCCCCUCACGCUCCUCAGCCGUGGCGGGCUACAGAAUUCUGGGCCGCUGUGCUUCCUAGAAAUUUACUUUUUUUCCCUCGGUCAAAACGACUCCCCUCGGAAUAAGCUACUGCCCCUUCUCGACGCCUCUUCCCCUGCGCAGAAGACAAGUUCUGGAAAGCGCAUUAGGAUCUCACCAUCAGACGCACCGGCCAGGACGUGCACCGCGGCCACCGGGAGAAGGGUGAGCUGUCACUCUACAAAUCCGGGUGCAAUUUAGAGUCAGGCGCCAUCUUUUUGCAAGAACAAAACCAAGAACAACAAAAAUUCCUCUUCCUGCACAAAAAGAGGAAACAAUCAUGAACAUGGAUAUUACGGUGACAGGCUGUAUAGAAACGAUGAAGAUUUGAGACGCCGAGAUCCACGCCGAAAGGUGGGAGGUGUUGACCUGCCUGUCCACCAAAUGUCUGAUCACUGGGGGAAAAGACAGGGCCUUCUGGCAACCACCUGUGACGGAGAGCGAGGGGAGCAGCCCCCCCCCAUACCCGGAUGCUCCCAGGCCGCCGCUGCCUGCCUCGGGGACUGAUCGCCUUCUGAGCUGUACUCAACGGCAAGAGGUUUUACUACCAUGAAAUGCAAGUCACCAACUUCGCAGACAGGGAAGAAAGAAAGGAAUUCUGCCUGGAGCAGCAAACGGGGAGAUAGUCUGGAGUUUAGGGACAAACAGUGAGAUUUUCCCAUUUGUCUUGGGAUCUAAUUUUCAAGCACGAUGUCGUCACUCCCUCGGCACGAGCUGGUGGCUCAAACCUGGGGUGCAGCUUUGUGGCUGUGAGCCCCACACCCCUUUCAGUGACUGGACAUCCCAACGACACAACAUAAAGACCUCAGCACCCACGUCUGCGAGCUUUUCCAAAAUGAGAGGAGGCUACGAGGCAGAGCAUGAACCGUCCUGCUGACAGCCAUGAGCCCACCCGGGCCUGAGUCCCAGGGAAGGUAUGGGAUUCAGACCUGUUCAGAAGCAUGAGCCCCAGGAGACGCCUGAGAGCAGUAUUCCUGCCGUGGAUGCGGGGCCUUGCUGCAAAAGGCUGGCAGCCGGUCCCUCCUGGCAACACCCGGCACAGGGCCUCAUUGGACCCUCAGCGCCAGGGGGGAGGGUCUCCAAUGUCUGAUUUACUCACUGACCAGGGAUUCACCCUGAGCCCCGAGCCCUGCAUCUAAGACCUUGCCCAUGAAGACAUGAGUGAGGGGCCCGGCUUCAGACCCCUGGGCCGGACUGCCUGCAGGUGGGAGCCGAGGGAGGGAGGGCCGCGGCCGGGUGGGACCCCAUCUCUGGGGUUAUUUGAGUCCUCCUUGGUGUCCCCUCGCUCCCUGAUUGGGUGGGAGAAGCCACUCCAGGAUUCGGAUGGUUUUGCUAAUCUUUGCCGGUGCCUCUGAUUUCGUUUGAAUAAGGUGGAAAACCAGUUUUCAGAGUCCGGGAGGGUCAGCCGCCACAUUUCCACUGAGGCUAGAAGGCAGGCAAGGUGCCUCGAGGGCUGCCAGCAGCUCAGGCUGCGAGCGGGGACCUGGUGAGCGAGGGCGCGGGAGCUCGGGGCUGCCGGGGCGAGGGGCCACGCAGCUCCAGGGAAAGGAGCUGCGGGGGAGCCCGGGGGCCCAGUCCUCUUGGAGGAGUUGGAACAAGGCCUUUUGGUGCCUGAGCACAAAAGAUCAGUGUUUCUGGAUUCAGUACAGAAGGCGAAACGGGUAACGAGGUUUCUUGAUGCCAGGGCACUGUCGGUUCUUGAGCAAAGAGAGACGCGCGAUGGGGAAGACAAGAGGCUCUGGCAGCUAAAAUACUUACUGUAAGAAAAAGGAAAACGUAAGCAAAGUGACCCCAGGAAAGGCAGGUGCCUCAUGCAAGCCGCUACGCUCCUGCCGCCACGCGGGGGUCGUGCGGGAGCCGCACGUGGACGCAGAAUCACGAUGACCGACCGCUGCUGGCAAACAAGUCAGCGAGACUGCUUGUCGUUCUGCUUUUCCUCCUCAUCCAGAAGCCGUGCUGGGAUCACAGCGCUGGCACGGGAAGUCUCCGAUGCCGGCAGAGGACAGAGCGAGGCACGAUGGAAACGGCUGUCGAAGCACCACCUUGCUCCCUGCGGGGCUGUGAAGCGGUCAGCGCAGUUAGUCGGGUGAGGCACCUGCGUGACUAAGCCCGCGAGCUCUGACGGGACGGAGACCCACGUCGGAGUCCCAGCGCGCCCGCUCCCUGCUGUGUGAAUUGGUGAGUUUCUGGAAUUUGACAAGCCUGGGUUUGCCCAUCCGUGAAGUGGGUCAACACCACCACCUGCCUCACAAGGCGCCAAGCGACUCACGCGUCGAACAUGCGGACGCACGGUGGGCUGUCAGGAUUAGCGGCUGUUACUGGCGUUGCUCGGUGCUUCCUCCCGUUGCCUGGGAUUCCCCUUCCACACAAACCCUAGAACACCCCAGACAGUCGCAACGAGCGUGCCCAGAAGCCUGGGUGCUGGGUUCACACGGCUGCGCCCAGAUGCUCGCGUACUUAAUGCGACUCUGUGCAGAAUUCUGGGAGCAAUAACAAUGGUGGCCCCGACGCACCGGCCACCCGGUGUGAGCCCUGCACUUCACUGAACACAUUACAUUUGUUACCACGCUGGAUCCUCACGGUGUCAGGAAGCUCGG